CAGUGUGACUCGUCACACUAUCAUUAACUGAAUCCAUAGGUUAAUGAGGCGAACCGGGGGAACUGAAACAUCUAAGUACCCCGAGGAAAAGAAAUCAACCGAGAUUCCCCCAGUAGCGGCGAGCGAACGGGGAGGAGCCCAGAGCCUGAAUCAGCAUGUGUGUUAGUGGAAGCGUCUGGAAAGGCGCGCGAUACAGGGUGACAGCCCCGUACACAAAAGCGCAUGUGCUGUGAGCUCGAUGAGUAGGGCGGGACACGUGGUAUCCUGUCUGAAUAUGGGGGGACCAUCCUCCAAGGCUAAAUACUCCUGACUGACCGAUAGUGAACCAGUACCGUGAGGGAAAGGCGAAAAGAACCCCGGCGAGGGGAGUGAAAAAGAACCUGAAACCGUGUACGUACAAGCAGUGGGAGCACAGGUUUACCUGUGUGACUGCGUACCUUUUGUAUAAUGGGUCAGCGACUUAUAUUCUGUAGCAAGGUUAACCGUAUAGGGGAGCCGUAGGGAAACCGAGUCUUAACCGGGCGUUAAGUUGCAGGGUAUAGACCCGAAACCCGGUGAUCUAGCCAUGGGCAGGUUGAAGGUUGGGUAACACUAACUGGAGGACCGAACCGACUAAUGUUGAAAAAUUAGCGGAUGACCUGUGGCUGGGGGUGAAAGGCCAAUCAAACCGGGAGAUAGCUGGUUCUCCCCGAAAGCUAUUUAGGUAGCGCCUCGUGAAUUCAUCUCCGGGGGUAGAGCACUGUUUCGGCUAGGGGGCCAUCCCGGCUUACCAACCCGAUGCAAACUGCGAAUACCGGAGAAUGUUAUCACGGGAGACACACGGCGGGUGCUAACGUCCGUCGUGAAGAGGGAAACAACCCAGACCGCCAGCUAAGGUCCCAAAGUCAUGGUUAAGUGGGAAACGAUGUGGGAAGGCCCAGACAGCCAGGAUGUUGGCUUAGAAGCAGCCAUCAUUUAAAGAAAGCGUAAUAGCUCACUGGUCGAGUCGGCCUGCGCGGAAGAUGUAACGGGGCUAAACCAU
rnacentral:rRNA from 3 species